GUUCCCAGACUCGCUUAUGCUCCUCGGGCAAAAGUGUGUUGGAUAGGAUCAUGUGAAUAUCAUGAAAGUGGUCAGCCAGCAGUGGGAAGCAGAACUUAUGAAGGAAAAGAUGGCAAAGUGGGUGUAGCACUGAAGCACCCAAAGUUUGCCUCUACUGCCCUCUGAAAGCUCUCAGUUCCUCAUCUGCUGGGGCUGGAGAUACAAGGACCAACCAGGGAACAGCUGGGACCUUCUGAAGAAGUGCCCUGGGUGACAGGAUCUGGGUGUGACCAAUAUCUCAGAUUCUCAGUGAUAAAAGAAAAUAACAGGAAAGAAGGGACAAGAAGAAAGAAGGGCAGAAUCUGUUCUCACAGCUCUUGUUUAUUUAAGCCUGCUGUGUGCCAAGCACCCUGCUGAGCCCUGGGGACUCAGGCAAAUAAGACUCUCAUUCACUCCUUGAACAAACAGUGUUGAAGGAUUCGAAUGAAGAUGCCAGGCCCUGGGAUGCCUCAGGAUGAAGAGAGGGGCAGGUGAGCAAAUGAGCAGCUGGACACAGGGUGGAAAGUAGACUGAGAGAGGACUGUGCAGGGUGGCCUGGGCAUAGAAGGAGGUAGAGGACAUCACAGACAGAGGCCUCCUGUUCUGGGGCUGCAAGGAAUUCUGUGUGGCCAGAGGGGAGGGUAUGUGUUUGGUACAAGGACAGGCAGGAAAGCCCAAGAAACACCCUAAGUGCCACCAAAGUUUUGGGCUACAUGGACACAAGAAGCCACCAUGUGCCUUCACAAAAGGAAAGGCCAGGCUCAGAUUCCAAUCUGGUGCGAUGCCAGUGGAGUGGCACUGGGGGCUGGAGCAAAGCUGAAGGAGGGAGGCAGGGAUGAGACUCUAUUGCUGCUUGGGAAGGCUUGGUGCCUGACUCCCUCUCAGGGCUGGGAAACGGAGUGGGCAGCCAUGACAGCAUGUGCUUGCUGAAUUGGGAGGUGUGGCCAGGCGUGGGGGAGAAGAGGGGCAUGUGGGCAUGUCAGGCAGGAAGGGCCCGUGGGCCUCUGAGGGGAUAUGUACAGUGGGCAGACCAAACUUGAGACCUGAUUGGAAAUCAUCAGCAGAUUAAUCCAGGUUUCUCAGCCCUGGUUUCCUGUACUAGCCUCAGGGGAAGCUCAUUAAUCACGCAGCCUCCUAGGUCCAUCUCAGGAUUACUGGGCCAGAAUCUCUGGAAAUGGAGCCCAGCAAUGUCUAUACUGUAGUCCAGUGUUCCCAGCCUUGGUGGUUGUGUUGGGGGUCCCCAAGAGCACAGCCACAGGCUUGAUGACUUGCUAGAAAGUACUUAAAAAACUCAGAAAAGCUAUUAUAUCCAUGAUUAUGGUUUAUUAAAGUAAAAGGAUAUAGAUUAGAACCAGUGAAGGGUAAAGCAGCAUGGGGCAAAAUCCAGGACAAAACAGGUACUCCUUCCAUGUUUCUCCUCCCAGGAGAGCUGAAGAGGCAGCAGUCACUCUCAUAGGAGUGACAUGUGACGAUGCAUGCUGAGUGUCAUCAGGAAAGCUCACCCAGGCCUGGGGACCAGGGCUUUUGGGGGGUCAGUCAUGUAGGCUUGAAGCUCCUGGGUGACUGACUUCAGCUACUCAGUUUCUAGGCCCUAGAGAAGUCACACUGAUGCAGCAAGGCCCAGGGCCUCAGGCAUACAAGAACACUUUUAACAGGCAGGAUAUGCCAAAGGCUCAGAAGAUGUCUCCCCAGAGCUGGUCAAGGACUAGUACUUUCUUUGGAGUGCAGGGUUUGAGUACCGCAAGCCUGAAGAGCUGUGUCUUCACUGCCCAGUGGUCUAUGUCAUAAUGCCCUGGAGAGCAUUCAGAAAACUCAAUGCCAAGAUUAAGGCCCAUUGCCAUAGACAGCAAUGGACACCAAAGGAAGAAAUAAGCCCAUUCCAGGGGGCGUGAGGAGAGAGGAGAACUAGACGGCCAAGAAUGGUAGACUGAGGGCUGCAGAGGCUGCAGAGCCCUGGGAAGAAGCUCACAAAGAAGGGCAGGAGCAGCCAGAGAGACAGGCAGGGAGCCAUGGCCCCUAGUGUCUGGAAGCAGAAAGAGCGGGCAGUCUAGUCACAUAGGUGGCCUGGGAAGGAUCAGUUAGAGCCAGAGGAAUGGGGCAUGGUGCCAGGAAGAGCAGCGGGCAUCACGGGCACGCCCACGCACUCCCCCUCCUCCUGCAGCUCAAGGCUUUCCACUCCCCUCUGCGACUUUCCUCACGGAAUAGAACAGGAUACCUGAAUCAGUCAGGGGUGCCCAGGCUGUACAGUUAUGGGGUGUGGGUGGGGUGGGGUGGCCACCUCUGCAGGCCCUCCCAGCUCUGCCGUUCUGUGGUUCUAUGAUUGUGACUGGAUCUCCAGGCUGCAUUUUGACUUUCAUUGGUCGAAGCAUUGAAGAC